rnacentral:rRNA from 1 species
UCCCGUAAACGGCGUAAAGAGUGGUAUCAUGUUAUCAUAAUAACUAAGACCAAAGUACAACUAAGCUGUCAUAAGCCAAAGUUGUACCUAAGACCACCUUAUAGACGAUCUUAGCACUUUAGAUUAAUUUAACCCCACGAAAGCUAAGGCACAAACUGGGAUUAGAUACCCCACUAUGCUUAGCCCUAAAUCUUGAUGCUAUCUCGAUACUGAAGCAUCCGCCCGAGAACUACGAGCACAAACGCUUAAAACUCUAAGGACUUGGCGGUGCCCUAAACCCACCUAGAGGAGCCUGUUCUGUAAUCGAUAAUCCACGUUACACCCGACCGCCUCUUGCCAAANGCAGCCUACAUACCGCCGUCGCCAGCUCACCUCCCCUGAGAGUUCAAUAGUGAGCACAAUAGCUANAACCCGCUAAUAAGACAGGUCGAGGUAUAGCCUACGGGGUGGAAGAAAUGGGCU